rnacentral:rRNA from 1 species
UACGGGGGGGGCAAGCGUUGUUCGGAAUUACUGGGCGUAAAGCGUGCGCAGGCGGCGCCGCAAGUCAGGCGUGAAAUCCCCGAGCUUAACUUGGGAAUGGCGCUUGAAACUACGGUGCUGGAGUGUGGCAGAGGGAGGUGGAAUUCCACGUGUAGCAGUGAAAUGCGUAGAUAUCUGGAGGAACACCGGUGGCGAAGGCGGCAUCCUGGACCGAUACUGACGCUGAGGAGCGAAAGCCAGGGGAGCAAAGCGGGAUUAAGAA